ACCUGGCUGGCUCAGUCAGUGGAGCAUGUGACUCUUGAUCUCAGAGUUGUGAGUUCAAGCCCCACACUGGGUA
rnacentral:tRNA from 1 species